rnacentral:rRNA from 1 species
GAUGAACGCUAGCGGGAGGCCUAACACAUGCAAGCCGAGCGGUAGAGUUUCUUCGGAAACUUGAGAGCGGCGCACGGGUGCGUAACACGUGUGCAACCUACCUUUAUCUGGGGGAUAGCCUUUCGAAAGGAAGAUUAAUACCCCAUAAUAUAAUGAUUGGCAUCAAUUAUUAUUGAAAACUCCGGUGGAUAGAGAUGGGCACGCGCAAGAUUAGAUAGUUGGUGAGGUAACGGCUCACCAAGUCAAUGAUCUUUAGGGGUCCUGAGAGGGAGAUCCCCCAAUACAGUACUGAAGACCAGACCAGACUCCCAAGGGAGGAAGGCAUGAAGAAAAAUGGACAAAGGGUGAGGGCCUGAUCCCGCCAUCCCGGGGGAAAGAAGACGGGUCCAGGGAAUGUUAACUUCUUUUGGAAAGGGAUAAACCUACCCCAGGGAGGGUAGCCGAAGGUACUGUACGAAUAAGCACCGGCUAACUCCGUG